GAACGCACAUUGCGCCCUCUGGUAUUCCGGAGGGCAUGCCUGUCUGAGCGUCAACUCACCCUCAAACUCUAAGUUUGGUAUUGGAAGAAGAGGCUUCGGCCUCCCUUCUGCAAACCAUUGGCAGUGGCUCAAGCUAUAGCAACGUAGUAAGCACAUAUUCGUUGUAAUGUAGUUGGAGACGUUCGCCAGAACCCCAUACUUUCUAAGUUUGACCUCAGAUCAGGUAGGGAUACCCCCUGAACUUAAG
rnacentral:misc_RNA from 1 species